GUCUACCAUGCAGUCGACGGUAACAGGACUAGCUUGCUAGUUGCUGACGAGUGGCGCACGGGUGAGUAACAUAUAGGUAACGUGCCUCUUAGUCUGGGAUAGCCACUGGAAACGGUGAUUAAUACCGGAUACACCUUUUAAUUUGAUGUUAAAAGGGAAAGGUUUUUCGCUAAGAGAUCGGCCUAUAUUGUAUCAGCUAGUUGGUGAGGUAAGAGCUCACCAAGGCAAUGACACAUAGCGGGUUUGAGAGGAUGAUCCGCCACACUGGUACUGAGACACGGACCAGACUCCUACGGGAGGCAGCAGUGAGGAAUAUUGCACAAUGGAGGAAACUCUGAUGCAGCAACGCCGCGUGGAGGAUGACGCAUUUCGGUGUGUAAACUCCUUUUAUAAGAGAAGAAAAUGACGGUAUCUUAUGAAUAAGUCCCGGCUAACUCCGUGCCAGCAGCCGCGGUAAUACGGAGGGGACAAGCGUUAUUCGGAAUCACUGGGCGUAAAGGACGCGUAGGCGGGACAGUAAGUCAGGUGUGAAAUCCUAUGGCUCAACCAUAGAACUGCAUUUGAAACUGCUGACCUAGAGUAUGGAAGGGGCAGGUGGAAUUAGUGGUGUAGGGGUAAAAUCCGUAGAUAUCACUAGGAAUACCGAAAGCGAAGGCGACCUGCUGGGACAUUACUGACGCUGAGGCGUGAAAGCG
rnacentral:rRNA from 1 species